UACGUAGGGGGCAAGCGUUGUCCGGAUUUAUUGGGCGUAAAGAGCGUGUAGGCGGUUAGGUAGGUCCGUUGUGAAAACUCGAGGCUCAACCUCGAGGCGCCGAUGGAAACCAUGUGGCUAGAGUCCGGAAGAGGAGAGUGGAAUUCCUGGUGUAGCGGUGAAAUGCGCAGAUAUCAGGAAGAACACCCGUGGCUAAGGCGGCUCUCUAGUACGGUACUGACGCUGAGACGCGAAAGCGUGGGGAGCGAACAGG
rnacentral:rRNA from 1 species